rnacentral:rRNA from 1 species
CAGAGGGUGCGAGCGUUGUCCGGAGUCACUGGGCGUAAAGGGCGCGUAGGUGGCGCCCCAAGUCAGUGGUGAAAGCUCGAUGCUCAACAUCGAGUCGGCCACUGAGACUGGGGGGCUCGAGCACUGUAGAGGCAGAUGGAAUUCCGGGUGUAGCGGUGGAAUGCGUAGAGAUCCGGAAGAACACCGGUGGCGAAGGCGGUCUGCUGGGCAGUAGCUGACACUGAGGCGCGACAGCGUGGGGAGCAAACAGGAUUAGAUACCCUGGUAGUCCACGCCGUAAACGAUGGGCACUAGAUGCUUGGGGGAGCGACCCCCUGAGUGUCGUCGCUAACGCAGUAAGUGCCCCGCCUGGGGAGUACGGCCGCAAGGCUG